AUUGAACGCUAGCGGCAGGCCUAACACAUGCAAGUCGAACGAGUGGCGGACGGGUGAGUAGUGUCUCGGAAACUGCCCCAUGGAGGGGGAUAACUACUGGAAACGGUAGCUAAUACCGCAUACCAUCAGAUGUGCCCAUAUCGGAUUAGCUUGUUGGUGGGGUAACGGCUCACCAAGGCGACGAUCCCUAGCUGGUCUGAGAGGAUGACCAGCCACACUGGAACUGAGACACGGUCCAGACUCCUACGGGAGGCAGCAGUGGGGAAUUUUGCACAAUGGGGGAAAGCCUGAUGCAGCCAUGCCGCGUGUAUGAAGAAGGCCUUCGGGUUGUAAAGUACUUUCGGCGGGGAAGCGUUACCCGCAGAAGAAGCACCGGCUAACUACGUGCCAGCAGCCGCGGUAAUAC
rnacentral:rRNA from 1 species